rnacentral:rRNA from 1 species
CACGUAGGGCGCAAGCGUUGUCCGGAAUUAUUGGGCGUAAAGAGCUCGUAGGCGGUCUGUUGCGUCUGCUGUGAAAACCCGGGGCUUAACCCCUGGCUUGCAGUGGAUACGGACAGACUAGAGGUAGGUAGGGGAGAAUGGAAUUCCCGGUGUAGCGGUGAAAUGCGCAGAGAUCGGGAGGAACACCAGUGGCGAAGGCGGCUCGCUGGGCCGGUCCUGACACUGAGACGCGAAGGCGUGGGGAGCGAACGGG